rnacentral:lncRNA from 1 species
GAGCUCAGCCUAACUGCUUUUGCAAUUGCCAGCAGCAGAAUUGAUGGGUUGUUGUUUUUUUCCUUAAAAAUGAGGGCAAAGAUCAUUGACUAAAUAUCACCCUCCCUUCCUCUCAACCACAAGGAGCAUUUGAGAAGUUCCUGAGUUUUUACCAACUCCAGAUGCCAGGUGUACCAAAGAACAGGCCAUUUUUCAAAGCUGUUCUAUUUGUCUGGAUAAUUAGAUCCGUUCUGCUUCAGAACUGAGGAAAUUAAUGGGGGGUAAGAAAACCAAAAGCAUGCACGUUUCCUCCGCUUGGAGGGAGAAAAAAGCACCCAAAAAGCUUUGGAAGGAUUCAUGCAAACAGUGCAGGAAGGAGAGGAGCAGAGAUCCCACAGUUGCAUCCAUCCGUCCGUCCGUCCAUCUGUCCAUCAUGCAGCCCUGCUGCUGUCCACCUUCCCCGAGCAGAAUUGGCCAAGCACAUCUCCCUACUGGGAGCUCACAGAAGUGCCACAGACAUCACCAUGCAGCCUCCUGGGUCGCUCUGCUAAUGGGCAAUUACUGCUGUUCUGGGGGCUUUGUAGGCAGAUGUCCCUGCUCUGCCUUCAGCCUCAUGCAUCCCUGAGUCCGUUAGGUAGCUGCAGAGGGCAGGGCAGUAUGUGCAAUGUGGAGAACUCUAUGAGCUCCGGAGAGCCUCUUUGGUGGCAGCCCUGCCAGGAGCAGACACUGACUUCAUGACAAGCUCAGCAGCCGGGUGUCGAGAAGUGCUCUGCCCUGGAUUGCAGCAAGCUGCUCUGCUUUUUUCCUUUUUUUCCCUCCUAUUGAUUUAGUUUGGAAGCAUUUCAGAGGGCACUUUCUCCUGUUAUAUGGUGAUAAAAUCCUGGGCUCAAUAACUGAGAUCUGAUGUCUGGCAUCAGAGCAAUACAAAUAACAAUAAAAGAAACAAAAUAGUGGUGAGUCAGGCUGGUUUCUGCUUGGAAAAACAUCAGUUCUCCUUAUUACUCAUUGGCUUUGCCAUCUCCUCUGGGGGACCCUGCCGGCCACCGCAGGCUGCAGCAGAACAGAGGCCGGGCUGAACUCCAUCCCGCCAGGGCGCGCUUUGCUGGGGCUCGGGGGGUUGUGUGCCUGUGCCGAUGGCACCCAGAGCACAUAGGAGCACAGCAGCAGUGUGCCCAGCCAGCCCGGCCCUGCUGUUUUCUUCUAUCAAGACUUCUAUUGGUUCAUGUCUAGCUUGUUUGCUUCCUUUUGGCACCAUUUUUUCUCUGCAAGUGAAAAAUUUACCCUGAAUCACAGCACGUUAUUUCCACUUGUCAAGAUAAAGGUUAAUGAAGUACUGGUAACUGCAUCACAGAUCUGGCUCUGUCUCUAUCUGCGAUUUUUUAUGGCGCUCUGUGCUGCGCAGCCCAUGCAUGGAAAAGGCUGAGAUUAAAAAAUGAUAAUAAAAACAAAACAAAGUGUUAGAGGUCAAGAAAUUCGCAGUGGCAGAGCUGAGCCGCUGCCCGUCGCCGCUGCCUCUCCCCGUGGGGCCGUGCAGUGGGCACAGGGCGAGGAUUACCCCAGCAUUCCAGCAGUAUUUGAGCAGCAUUUCCCAUUGCAGACAUUGGCUCUGGGUAGCAGCUGCUCGGGUAUUCAUACACCGUAUAAAUAAUACAGAGAGUACGUAGGUAUGUACCUCCUACAAAUAUAAUAUAGGAUUUAGAAGCAACAUCACGAUAUAUUUGAUGCGUAGCUGUCUUCACAAAGAUUUGCACCGGAGCUGCAGGAGGAUUUUGCACGCUGGCUGCACAAACCUCCCAUGCCUGAGCACAGAGCGGGGUGGCACAGCGGAGCCGCUCAGCGCAGCGGGGCUGUGAGGCGGGAGGAACCACGGCCACCAGCUCGUCUCAUAGUCUGUAGGCACAAGACCAACGUCUAAUCCUGCUGAUACAAAAGAUGCACUGGCUUAGCAGCAGCCCGUGCGGCUGCAGGAAGGAAGGGAGGGGCAGCCUUGUUUUCUUCCCAGGGAAGGCCAACGACUUUUGGGAUGGGUGUCAGAAGCUGCCGGUUGGGCUGAGUCAUGAGGUUGGCAUGGGGCGUUUCUCAUUAAGGCUGGCUUGAACGCACGCCAAGGAGGAUCUCCAAAAUUCACAGCUCAUCAUAGGGUUAAAAAUCCCACGGUCUGCUAUUCUGCUCCGCCGCAUGCGACCCGAAGCCUGGGCAGGUUGUGCAGAGGUUUGAGCUUUUCCCUCUCUCCGAGGUGGAUCCAAAAGCCGUUGCGAACCCUCAGUGUGGAUUUUUUAUGGGCUAAAUCGAGAUGCUUUGGAGUUGCUGGAAUUCAGAUCUGAAGUUCAUCGUUUCAGCCCAUAUGCUGCGUAUAAAAGGAAGAGAAAGAGAGGCG